UGGGCGUAAAGCGCACGCAGGCGGUUUGUUAAGUCAGAUGUGAAAUCCCCGGGCUCAACCUGGGAACUGCAUCUGAUACUGGCAAGCUUGAGUCUCGUAGAGGGGGGUAGAAUUCCAGGUGUAGCGGUGAAAUGCGUAGAGAUCUGGAGGAAUACCGGUGGCGAAGGCGGCCCCCUGGACGAAGACUGACGCUCAGGUGCGAAAGCGUGGGGAGCAAACAGGAUUAGAUACCCUGGUAGUCCACGCCGUAAACGAUGUCGACUUGGAGGUUGUGCCCUUGAG
rnacentral:rRNA from 1 species